GACGAACGCUGGCGGCGUGCUUAACACAUGCAAGUCGAACGGAAAGGCCCUGCUUUUGUGGGGUGCUCGAGUGGCGAACGGGUGAGUAACACGUGAGUAACCUGCCCUUGACUUUGGGAUAACUUCAGGAAACUGGGGCUAAUACCGGAUAGGAGCUCCUGCUGCAUGGUGGGGGUUGGAAAGUUUCGGCGGUUGGGGAUGGACUCGCGGCUUAUCGGCUUGUUGGUGGGGUAGUGGCUUACCAAGGCUUUGACGGGUAGCAGGCCUGAGAGGGUGACCGGCCACAUUGGGACUGAGAUACGGCCCAGCCUCCUACGGGAGGCAGCAGUGGGGAAUAUUGCACAGUGGGCGGGAGCCUGAUGCAGCAACGCCGCGUGCGGGAUGACGGGCUUCGGGUUGUAAACCGCUUUCGCCUGUGACGAAGCGUGAGUGACGGUAAUGGGUAAAGAAGCACCGGCUAACUACGUG
rnacentral:rRNA from 1 species